rnacentral:miRNA from 1 species
UCGAGAUUUGAUUUCCCCGAA